AAUGGGAUUACGCAUCUGCAUAUUUGGUAUCCACGGGCUAUCCUGGCACUAAACCCCAGGAGAUACGAAGGACUCACUGUAUAUAUUAUAUACAGUAUUUUAAUUAUACAGUGCUAGGAUUAACCAGUAUGGUCGACUAGUAUACUCAAAAAGGUUAUUAGGUUAUGGACAUCUUCAAGUUUCAGUCUUCUGGAGAAGAAUGGCAUUGAAAGGCAAUCUCAAACCAACCUACAAAGAUAAAUUUCACAGUAAGAACCUGUGCUUUCUGUUCUUUUCAGGUUCAGUAUACAGGCAUGGAUCAGUCCUGACAAAACCACAGAGGAAAAAGUAAACAUUAGAAGCAACUUUGGAAACACACUGCAUGAUGAAUAAUUGGGAGAGGUCGUCCUGAAACAAUCACCGUUUGGCAGGUGGUGCUAUGUUCUGAAAAUCUGGUCCACAUAUCAGUCACAGAAGGUACUGCACUUGACUACUUUUUCCAGUAAUAUCCAAGGGGUUAGACCUUUAAAAACAUCCUUUUUUUCAUUUUCUCAAUUACCAACAAAAUAAAGCAACAGUGACUUGAGCAGUCAUCUAUAUGGCUAAAAUAGUUUUUUGGAAUUUGUCUAAAAUGGUUUUGGGAAAGGCUAAAUUCAAUUUCAUUGUAUUUUU
rnacentral:lncRNA from 11 species